CAGUCGCCGCGGGAAUACGUAGGGUGCAAGCGUUGUCCGGAAUUAUUGGGCGUAAAGAGCUCGUAGGCGGUUCGUCGCGUCUGCUGUGAAAACCCGAGGCUCAACCUCGGGCUUGCAGUGGGUACGGGCGGACUAGAGUGCGGUAGGGGAGAUUGGAAUUCCUGGUGUAGCGGUGGAAUGCGCAGAUAUCAGGAGGAACACCGAUGGCGAAGGCAGAUCUCUGGGCCGUAACUGACGCUGAGGAGCGAAAGCAUGGGGAGCGAACAGGAUUAGAUACCCCAGUAGUCCCUGUCUCUUAUAA
rnacentral:rRNA from 1 species